rnacentral:misc_RNA from 1 species
AUAAGUUUUAACAUUCUCUUCCAGGCAUUGGAUCAGCAUACUCAUGGUAGAAUUGGUUAAGAGGUUGAGUGUUUUGUCAAACCCAGAUAUUACAUAGGAGGGAAAUGUGAUGGAAGAGCUGCAGGUGUUUAGUCUAUGGGGUACAGUAUUACUGGUUGGGAAAGUUAUGUCAUUGUGUUGAACCAAGAUACCCUUGGAGGGAAAAUGAUGGACAUGCUGCCAAUGUCUGUGGAAUGCAGUUUUAUCUUGGAUUUCACUGGUACCUCGUGUUUUUGGAACACUGAUGUAUGCUGAACUGUCAAGGCGUCUUGUGGUUUGGCAUGCAAGCGACUUCCCCAGGAACUUUGUGUGUCUUUUUACGGUGGAGGUUCGGGAAUUUAACUGCAGUCCUUGUGGACCAUUUCAUUUCGAAGUCUUCUGCCGAAGACUUUCAUGGAGUUUCUGGGACGUUUCUCGGCACUAUUCACGCAGCGAAGGUCUUCGGUUGCAGUCAUCCCAACUUGGGUGUACGUUAUGAAUGGUGGUGUUUCGGAGGGGUUUCUUCCAUUUUAUCAAAUCGAUCGGCUGGGCUCAGUUGAUGUUAUUCCGGGUUUUUGGAGUUGCAGCGCUUGUUUACGAUUGUUUGGGGCUACCAGUCCUCGUUCUACAGGUGAGUUAAUUUAGCGUCGUAGUUAUCUACUUUUAAUGAUGAAUAAUUGUGUGGGAAUCUCUCAGACAACAAUGAUAAGACAACUAUUUAACACUUUCUGACUGUUUUAUUGUCAUAUUAUGACAUGUCCUAUGUGUAUCCCAAUUACAUUUUGAAUUGUUUACAUAGGUUUGUCCUUGGAUUGGUUGCUGCAAGGUGGAGCACCUGUCUCAAUCCCUACAAUUGGAAUACCUGUUAUGUGUAAUUU